GGGGCUGUAGUGUAGCUUGGUCUAGCAUUGGGCGUUUGGGACGCUUAGACCCCAGUUCAAAUCUGGGCAGCCCCA
rnacentral:tRNA from 1 species